CCCUGUCGGCCAUUUGCGAAUUCGGCUUACAGUUUCAUGGAAGAGUGCCGUGAAAAUUGUGAAAUAAGUGUGUGAUAAAAUAAAGUACCGAAAUAUACAAGUGCUAAUGAAAUAAGACCGGUGACACUUAAGCUAACGCUCCGAUUAAAAGAGUGAAAAUAGAAAACACAUAUGUAAUUCAAUAUGGAAAAUGGUUUAGUUCGCAGCAUAUGCAAUGUGUGUAUGUAUGCGUGCGGAAUGGACUGAACUUUCCAAACGGAAGUCGCAUAUAAAGCUAAUAUUUGGUUGAAUUAGUUCAUUCAUGUUUGCUAUUGUACUCAUGCAUGGUGCAGUAAAUGUAUUAUUAACGAUUGUUUCACGUGCUAAAAAUAACAAUUAUUGGUUUUUCCGUGCAGUGCAAUGUGCGUGCAUGUGUGUGUGUGUGUGUGUGUGUCUGUGAGUAUAUAAAAAUAUUCUAUAUGCGCCAUGUGCUUUGAUAACAGUUGCACUAUUGGAGCCGAUUUGCUGGCGACCUCCGGUGUGACCCGGCGCCAUUGCCCCGUCUGUUGAUUAAUCGGCCAGCAAUCAGUGAGUACGUGAGGCGCCUAGGUGCAUUGAGAUUUGCCUUUGCCCGAGCGACAGCUGAUCAGCAGAGCACCUCAAGUCAGUUGGGAGCAGCGAGCAGCGCAACAAGCGAUUCACGUGUUCCACUGAACAAGCUUUUUCUCAUUGUGGCAUCGUUGGCAACAUCUAGAGAAGGUUGCCGAGUCCGACUCAAAGUUGACCACACAAGCAUACGCACACCAGCACACAGACACAGUCACAGUCACACUCACAUGCAGACGCACAGGUACGCAUGCGCAUGCAUAUCCAUGUUUAUAUCCAUAGCCACAUUCUUAUCCAAACGCACGGGCAGGGCUAUUAUCACAUAGUUUAUUAUCAUAACUACCGUUAGUAGUAGCAUAAGCUAUCACGACGCGUAGCCUAACAUUAUAAUUAUAUGAUUUAAGGUACUUGUGGUCAGGAAUGGGAUAUGAUCGACUGCCACACUGCCUGCCAAAUUGCUGCGCCCGCAAAAUAAAAGACGACAAUAAUGUCAAAAAAAGUCGAAAACAUAAAACAAAAAUUCAAAAACGUUUCGCGCGUUGUCGCUCGCUCGAGUUCGCUCUAACGACUACUUCUGCUCAUACUCUUGGUCGACUAUCAGCAGCCGCAAUUCUUCACACACACUCACACACACACAUAUAUACACACACUGGCACGCACGCGCACAAGCACACACACGCUUACACUUAUACACUGUAGAGUCGACGCUCUCAUUUAGCAUAUCAAUGUGCGGGCAUUUUUUUGGCUUUUAAUCGGCAGAGCUUAAUGGAUCAUGGUUUUAUGUGCCAGCAUAUGCAAAUGCUUCACUACGUCCUGUGUGUCCCGGAUGCCACAGUGUACACGCCAAUGCCAGAAGGCCACCGCAUCUCCCUUGGCUGCCCGGCUUGGAGCCGAUCCAAACCGAACUGAGCCGAGGUGUGCUUUUACACAUGUGCCAUCGAAAACAUGUGGAACGAUCUUAUAUACAUAUACAGCCAAACAAAUACACAUGGAGAGGCUCAUGUCUACGAAACACGAAGCGGCGAGCUUUAAAGAGCGUAUGGAAGACUCUCUUAGCACGUUUCGCCGCUUCGGCAGAAAUUUUUAAAAACACGCUUACGCAUUGGCUCUCUGUUGUGAUGAUAAGUUUUACUUAUUUAUUUGUUGUUGAGCAGUUUCUGUAACCUCCGAAUUCUCAUUUGAUUUUCUUUCUCAUUUGCCGACAUUUUACCUGUGACGCUGGGUAAAGUACAUGUACGAAUGCCCUUUAGAUGAUAUUGGAUAAUCUUAUUAAGAGCCGGCAUUGAAGUGAAAUUUAUCUUUUUACCUGAUUAUCCGUAAAAUUAAAAAGUUUAUUUUUACUAUUCCAGUCAACUUACACUGUAUCUAUUCUACACGCCGCAGAUCAAACACAUUGUUGUGAGGAGAUAAGAGAAUCUCGUAAGUAGUCCGAUGUUGAUAAGAUUUUACUCAAACAUGCGAAUCAUAGUGAAGCCAAUAAAUGCGAAGCUUGGUUAAAAUAUCUUGACAAACAGAAAGUUUGAUCGUAGAAAAAAAAACUGCUUAAUUUCGACUGAUCUUUUCUAUUACAGCUAUUUGAUGAAGUGGUCCGAUUUGGAUCAAAUUUUGCUUACAUGAGAGAUGCUUCAUACUUUAUGCAAGAUCGGCCCCACUCGAUCAGCUUCAAAAUUAUUUUUAAAACUCUCUAUAUAAACACGCUUUCGCAACUUCGAAAAAUUUUCGGAAAAUAUUUGUAGGACAUUUUUGGAUUUACCAUCAGCCUUUAAGAUCUUUGGGAUAUCAAUCCUGGUCGGAAAAGUGAACGCCAAAGGUCUUAAGCAAAAUACUUGAACCGGGCAAGGUCGAAGAAAUUCAAGCUAAUAAUAUUUAAUAUUUGUAACUUGUAGAAUAACAAUGCAUUAUUAUUGACCACAUAAAUGUUAAAUUUAUUGGUCAGCUCUUUGCUUUUAGUCAGCUUAUAGCUAGUUUUAUAACAUUCGUAGCAGUCUGACCUCAUCAGAGGCCCAAAAUAGCUUGACUCUAUCAAUAUCAUAUUAAUACUAAGAACAGAUCUUCGUACAGUGCUUCUAUGCGAAAUUACCAUAUGUAGCAAUUGACCUUUUUGCAUGUACAAAUAUUCUCUUUAAUCAAACGCAGCAGCCGCAGCAUUAAUCAAUUAAAAGACGAGCGCUCGUUAGCCAUAUUAAAAUAUAGUUGAAAAUUAAAAAUCCAUUUCGCAAAACUCUUGCUCUGCAGUCAUAAAAAAUGCUCGAAAUUAUUAUUAUUAUUUUAAUUCGGCAAUGCUCAAAUGCUAAUGAAUAGCACAAAAGCGAGCAUGGGCUAAAAUUGCAGACGCAUUGGAGCUCAACAACGUGCAAGGCAUGUUGUGUAAUUAACAACAGUCAAAUUUGAAUUACAGGAAGAAAAAACGAAAACAACAUAAAACAGAAGCCAAACAGCAAAUGUUACAAAACAUCACUAAAACUAAAAUGUAAUCUUCAAAUACCCUGUAUUGAUCGCUAUAAAGGGUGCGGUCUGAUGAUACAUAUGCCUAUUAUAACAUUUGUUUAUUAGAACAAACAUUCUUAAUAGCUCCGGCUAAGAUUGUCAUUGGAUAAGAAUUAAUCUGGUUCAUCUACGCAACAUCAGAAGAGAAAGUGACCGCAUGCUUUAUAUAGAUGUUAUCCAUGAAAGAUCACUUUAAGCCGAUAUACAGGAACGUUCUUAACAAGUCACCGAAGCUGAAAUACACUUACAAUACAAAUAGAACAAGCCUGCAAAAGGAAAUUACAAAAGUCUUUUAGCUGAUCAAAUUAUAACCAAGCACAUGUCUUCAAA